AGAGAUCUGACGGUACUGAUGAUAAGCCACGGCUAUCGUGCAGCAGCCGCGUAUACGGGAGUGCAGCGUAUCCGGAAUAUUGGGCGUAAAGCGUCGCAGGCGGCCCUUCAAGUCUGCUGUAAAAAGUGGAGCUAACUCCAUCAUGGCAGUGAAAACUGUUGGGCUGAGUGUGGUAGGGGCAGAGGGAAUUCCCGGUGUAGCGGUGAAAUGCGUAGAUAUCGGGAAGAACACCAGUGGCGAAGGCGCUCUGCUGGGCCAUCACUGACGCUCAUGGGCGAAAGCCAGGGGAGCGAAAGGGAUUAGAUACCCCUGUAGUCCUGGCCGUAAACGAUGAACACUAGGUGUCGGGGGAAUCGACCCCCUCGGUGUCGUAGCCAACGCGUUAAGUGUUCCGCCUGGGGAGUACGCACGCAAGUGCGAAACUCAAAGGAAUUGACGGGGGCCCGCACAAGCGGUGGAGUAUGUGGUUUAAUUCGAUGCAACGCGAAGAACCUUACCAGGGUUUGACAUCCUGCGAAUCUCUUGGAAACGAGAGAGUGCCUUCGGGAACGCAGUGACAGGUGGUGCAUGGCUGUCGUCAGCUCGUGUCGUGAGAUGUUGGGUUAAGUCCCGCAACGAGCGCAACCCACGUCUUUAGUUGCCAGCAUUCAGUUGGGCACUCUAGAGAGACCGCCGGUGAUAAACCGGAGGAAGGUGUGGAUGACGUCAAGUCAUCAUGCCCCUUACAUCCUGGGCUACACACGCACUACAAUGCUACGGACAAAGGGCAGCAAGUUCGCGAGGACAAGCAAAUCCCAUAAACCGUGGCUCAGUUCAGAUCGUAGGCUGCAACUCGCCUACGUGAAGGAGGAAUCGCUAGUAAUCGCAGGUCAGCAUACUGCGGUGAAUACGUUCCCGGGCCUUGUACACACCGCCCGUCACACCAUGGAAGUUGGCCACGCCCGAAGCCGUUACUCCAACCCUCGGG
rnacentral:rRNA from 1 species